GCAAUUCAUAUUACACUCUAGUUUCUUCUUUACUGCUAAAUCCACCUUCUGACUAGGUUUUCAUAAAUAGUCUUUCGUGUUUACUAUAUUAAAAAGUGUAGCCCAUCUCUUCCCAUUUCAUUUCUCUUGCGUCUUGACCUUACUUGUUUGCUGGCGCGCUUUACACUCACUUAAGAUUCGCUCACGAGGUAAGCUGACGACGGAGGUAUACAGGCUGAUAGACUAAAAAUGGUGAGGUUAAACGGGGGUUAUCGAUUAUAGACAGGCUCCUCUAGGGGGAAUGGGGUACCGUCAAGUCCUUUGUUUAAGCUUUGCCGUAGUUGGCGAUUCGGAGGUAACAAGAGCCGUAGGUCC
rnacentral:rRNA from 1 species